UACGUAGGUGGCAAGCGUUUGUCCGGAAUUAUUGGGCGUAAAGCGCUCGCAGGCGGUCUUUUAAGUCUGAUGUGAAAUCUUGCGGCUUAACCGUAAGCGGUCAUUGGAAACUGGAGGACUUGAGUACAGAAGAGGAGAGUGGAAUUCCACGUGUAGCGGUGAAAUGCGUAGAGAUGUGGAGGAACACCAGUGGCGAAGGCGGCGCUCUGGGCCGGAACUGACGCUGAGGAGCGAAAGCGUGGGUAGCGAACAGG
rnacentral:rRNA from 1 species